rnacentral:rRNA from 1 species
AGAGUUUGAUCAUGGCUCAGGAUGAACGCUAGCUACAGGCUUAACACAUGCAAGGUCGAGGGGAAACGACAUCGAAAGCUUGCUUUUGAUGGGCGUCGACCGGCGUACGGGUGAGUAACGCGUAUCCAACCUGCCCACCACGUUGGGGAUAACCUUGACGAAAGUAAGACUAAUACCCAAUGAUAUCUCUAGAAGACAUCUGAAAGGGAUUAAAGAUUUAUCGGUGAUGGAUGGGGAUGCGUCUGAUUAGCUUGUUGGCGGGGUAACGGCCCACCAAGGCAACGAUCAGUAGGGGUUCUGAGAGGAAGGUCCCCCACAUUGGAACUGAGACACGGUCCAAACUCCUACGGGAGGCAGCA